UACGUAGGGGGCAAGCGUUGUCCGGAAUUAUUGGGCGUAAAGAGCUCGUAGGCGGCCUGGCAAGUCGGGUGUGAAAGCCCGGGGCUUAACCCCGGGUCUGCAUUCGAUACGGGCUAGCUAGAGUGUGGUAGGGGAGAGCGGAAUUCCUGGUGUAGCGGUGAAAUGCGCAGAUAUCAGGAGGAACACCGGUGGCGAAGGCGGAUCUCUGGGCCAUUACUGACGCUGAGGAGCGAAAGCGUGGGGAGCGAACAGG
rnacentral:rRNA from 1 species